rnacentral:miRNA from 1 species
GAGAGCGCUCUCUCUCUCUCGCUCGCUCUCUCUCUCUCUCUCUCUCUCUCUGUGUGUGAGAAAGAGAGAGAGAGAGAGAGAGAGAGAGAGAGAGAGAGAGAGAGAGAGAGAUCCC